UACGGGGGGGGCAAGCGUUGUUCGGAAUUACUGGGCGUAAAGGGCUCGUAGGCGGCCAACCAAGUCAGACGUGAAAUCCCCAGGCUCAACCUGGGAACUGCGUCUGAUACUGGAUGGCUUGAAUCCGGGAGAGGGAUGCAGAAUUCCAGGUGUAGCGGUGAAAUGCGUAGAUAUCUGGAGGAAUACCGGUGGCGAAGGCGGCAUCCUGGACCGGCAUUGACGCUGAGGAGCGAAAGCCAGGGGAGCAAACGGG
rnacentral:rRNA from 1 species